rnacentral:rRNA from 1 species
CACCCAGGACGGUGGAUCACUCGGCUCGUGGGUCGAUGAAGAACGCAGCAAAUUGCGAGUCGACAUGUGAACUGCAGGACACAUGAACAUCGACGUUUCGAACGCACAUUGCGGUCCAUGGAUUCCGUUCCCGGGCCACGUCUGGCUGAGGGUCGGCU